AUGAACGCUGGCGGCGUGCCUAAUACAUGCAAGUCGAGCGAACAGACGAGGAGCUUGCUCCUCUGACGUUAGCGGCGGACGGGUGAGUAACACGUGGAUAACCUACCUAUAAGACUGGGAUAACUUCGGGAAACCGGAGCUAAUACCGGAUAAUAUAUUGAACCGCAUGGUUCAAUAGUGAAAGACGGUUUUGCUGUCACUUAUAGAUGGAUCCGCGCCGCAUUAGCUAGUUGGUAAGGUAAUGGCUUACCAAGGCGACGAUGCGUAGCCGACCUGAGAGGGUGAUCGGCCACACUGGAACUGAGACACGGUCCAGACUCCUACGGGAGGCAGCAGUAGGGAAUCUUCCGCAAUGGGCGAAAGCCUGACGGAGCAACGCCGCGUGAGUGAUGAAGGUCUUCGGAUCGUAAAACUCUGUUAUUAGGGAAGAACAAAUGUGUAAGUAACUAUGCACGUCUUGACGGUACCUAAUCAGAAAGCCACGGCUAACUACGUG
rnacentral:rRNA from 1 species